rnacentral:rRNA from 1 species
CACGUAGGGUGCGAGCGUUGUCCGGAAUUAUUGGGCGUAAAGAGCUCGUAGGCGGUCUGUCGCGUCGGUCGUGAAAACUUGGGGCUUAACCCUGAGCUUGCGGUCGAUACGGGCAUGACUGGAGUUCGGCAGGGGAGACUGGAAUUCCUGGUGUAGCGGUGAAUGCGCAGAUAUCAGGAGGAACACCGAUGGCGAAGGCAGGUCACUGGGCCGCAACUGACGCUGAGGAGCGAAAGCAUGGGGAGCGAACAGG